rnacentral:lncRNA from 1 species
GCCCCUUCUUCAUCACCUACUCCUGCUCCAGUGCCACAUCCUCACAACCAUCAUCACCACCAUCACCAUCAUCACCACCAUCAUCACAAUGCCCAUAUUGCUCCCACAAUUGCAGCAGCACCUGUGCCUGCAUCUUGGAAAAGUUCUCCUGCACCUGAGAAAAGUUCACCUGCACCUGAGAAAAGUUCACCUGCACCUAAGAAAAGUUCACCUGCACCCAAAAGUUCUCCUGCACCUGAAAGAAGUUCUCCUGCACCUGAAGGAAGUUCUCCUGCACCUGAGAGAAGUUAUGAAGCAAGGCCUCCUGGUUGCCAAAAUGGGCAUAAAAGAAAGUUCACGAGCAAGACCAAAAAGCCAGCUCAAUCAGUCCCUACUGUUGCACCAAGGAUUUCUCCGCACUAUUCUGCGGCCUCACCUCAUCCACAGGUGGGCCCAC